rnacentral:rRNA from 1 species
GAUGAACGCUGGCGGCGUGCCUAAUACAUGCAAGUCGAGCGAACAGACGAGGAGCUUGCUCCUUUGACGUUAGCGGCGGACGGGUGAGUAACACGUAGGUAACCUACCUAUAAGACUGGGAUAACUUCGGGAAACCGGAGCUAACACCGGAUAAUAUUUCGAACCGCAUGGUUCGAUAGUGAAAGAUGGCUUUGCUAUCACUUAUAGAUGGACCUGCGCCGUAUUAGCUAGUUGGUAAGGUAACGGCUUACCAAGGCAACGAUACGUAGCCGACCUGAGAGGGUGAUCGGGCACCAUGGGACUGAGACACGGUCCAGGCUCCUACGGGAGGCAGCAGUAGGGAAUCUUCCGCAAUGGGCGAAAGCCUGACGGAGCAACGCCGCGUGAGUGAUGAAGGUCUUCGGAUCGUAAAACUCUGUUAUUAGGGAAGAACAAACGUGUAAGUAACUGUGCACGUCUUGACGGUACCUAAUCAGAAAGCCACGGCUAACUACGUG